rnacentral:rRNA from 1 species
GAUGAACGCUAGCGGCAGGCUUAAUACAUGCAAGUCGAGGGGCAGCAUGACUGUAGCUAUACAGUUGAUGGCGACAGGCAAACGGGUGCGGAACACGUACGCAACCUUCCCAAAACUGGUGAAUAGCCUUUCGAAAGAGAGAUUAAUACACCGUAACUUAAUGAAGUGGCAUCCCUUUAUUAAUAUAGCUCCGGCGGAUUUGGAUGGGCGUGCGGCUGAUUAGGUAGUUGGCGGGGUAACAGCCCACCAAGCCUACGAUCAGUAACUGGUGUGAGAGCACGACCAGUCACACGGGCACUGAGACACGGUCCCGACUCCUACGGGAGGCAGCAGUAAGGAAUAUUGGUCAAUGGACGCAAGUCUGAACCAGCCAUGCCGCGUGGAGGAUGAAGGUCCUCUGGAUCGUAAACUUCUUUUAUCGGAGAAGAAACCCCAAUUUUCUUGUUGGGUUGACGGUACCCGAUGAAUAAGUACCGGCUAACUCCGUGCCAGCCGCCGCCGUAAAAC